rnacentral:lncRNA from 1 species
CUGGAUGGAGGGCAGGGCCACAUCGGCCUCCGCCGUAGGCGCCUUCACCUCCAUGGACGUGUCCAAGGUCUUGCUGGGGGUAGACACACUGAAGGAGGGCAUGUUGAACUUGGGCAUUUUGAACUUGCUGUCUUUGGUGGCCACUUCCUUGUCUGCCAGGGCCAGGUCCCCCUCCAGCUUAGCACUGUGGGCCUGUAUGUGCACCUGCCCAGAGGGCAACUCCAUGUCCAGGUCCGGGGCACUCACUUCACCCUUGGUGCCUUUCACCUCUAGCUUGGGGCCCUUGAUGUCCAACUGGGGCCCCUUGAGGUCCACCUUAGGCWUCUUGAUGCUGGGCAUCUGCCCCUGGGGCACUUUCCCCUUCAGGCUGGCUCCAUUAGCAGGGGCCGCCUGCAGCUCUUCGUUAGGGAGGGUGGACUCAGGGAGGGUCACGUCCACCUGUCCAGCCAUGUCCCCCAAUUCGGCAGGGGGCAGCUGGAUGCUGAUAUCAGAGGUUGUGAGGUCACCCUGGAUGGAGGGCAGCGCCACAUCAACCUCCACCUUGGGUGCCUUCACCUCCAUGGACAUGUCCAAUGUCUUUCCGGGGGCAGAGAUGCCGAAGGACGGCAUCUUGAACUUGGGCAUUUUGAACUUGCUGUCUCUGGUGGCCACAUCCUUGUCUGCCAGGGCCAGGUCCGCCUCCAGCUUGGCACCAGGGGCCUCUAUGUCUACCUGCACAGAGGGCAGCUCCAUGUCAAAGUUGGGGACACUCACCUCGACCUUGGGCUCUUUUAUGUCCAGUAUGGGGCCCUUGAUGUCCACCUGGGGGCCUUUGAGGUCCACCUUGGGCAUCUUGAUGCUGGGCAUCUGCACCUUGGGCAGGUGCCCCUUCAGACUGGCUCCAGCAGGAGGGGCCACCGGUAGCUCUCCCUUGGGCAGGGUGGCCUUGGGUAGGGUCAAGUCCACCUGUCCAGUCCCAGCCUCUAGGUCGGCAGUGGGCAUCUGGAUGCUGAUAUCAGAGGUUUUGAGGUCACUCUGGAUGGAAGGCAGGGCCACA